ACAAUGAUGAUGUCACUGAUUCUACUGCUGGCCACCCUGGGGCUCCUUGUUCAGGGUUCAUCAGGAGAAACCAUCCUGACUCAGUCUCCUGGAUCUCAGUCUGCUGUUCCAGGACAGGCUGUCUCUCUCAAAUGUAAAACCAGUACAAGUGUUAGUAGCUACCUCAACUGGUACCUUCAGAAACCUGGAGAAGCUCCUAAACUCCUGAUUUAUUAUGCUACAACCCGUCAGUCUGGAGUUCCAGAUCGUUUUAGUGGAAGUGGAUCUGGGACUGACUUCACUCUGACCAUCAGUGGAGUUCAGGCUGAAGAUUCAGGAGUUUACUACUGUCAGCAGAGUAACAGCUUCCCGUUCACACAGUGAUACAACGUCGUACAAAAACCUCCCUCAGCUGGAGAGGAACUGAUCUGACUCAACAGCUGCACUGAAACUAAAACAGAGGUUUAUAAAAAUGCACAUUUAGCCAAUAAUUAUUCACAUUAAUGAUUGCAACACUAAAUAUUCUUUAAUAUAUAAUAUUCUAGAAGUUAUACUUCUAAUAUGUUUAUUAAAACAGAUUUUGAACCAUUCUUCUGAACAUUAAAGCUAACCUCUGUUGAAUUAUGAUGUGUGUGAUAUUCAUGAAAACACAAGGACACAGAUUGUAAAUAUUAUUUAUUAUUUUAUAUCUUACCAUUUUUUCAUUGAAUCUCAGAUAUACUAUAAAUUAAUUUCAUUAAUUGCAGUUAAAUGACUAGUCAUGUUUAUAACAACAUGUAUUUAUAACUUAAAUUAUGUUUUUUAUCCCAGCAAAUAAAUUCAUUUUAGUAUGAAAGUAGUAAAUCAUUAAUAUUUGAAUUGUUUCCUUUGGUCAACUUUUACAUGUCUUUCUUCAGCAGAAGCAGUAUGUACAGCAUCUGACAAAAGUGAGUACACCCCUCACAUGUUGUCAAUAUUUGAUUA